CUGGGCCAUGGGGCACGGGUCUGGCAGUAUGUCCAUCAAAAGCCUUCAACGUGUUCACUCCUGGACCCUCUAAGAGAAUGGCUGAACUUGGCCUCCCAUCCCACUCAUACAACACCUCUGCGGGCCUCACAGACACGCAA